UACGGAGGGUGCAAGCGUUAUCCGGAUUCACUGGGUUUAAAGGGUGCGUAGGUGGAAUGGUAAGUCAGUGGUGAAAUCUCCAAGCUUAACUUGGAACUGCCGUUGAUACUAUCAUUCUUGAAUAUCGUGGAGGUGAGCGGAAUAUGUCAUGUAGCGGUGAAAUGCUUAGAUAUGACAUAGAACACCGAUUGCGAAGGCAGCUCACUACGCGAUUAUUGACACUGAGGCACGAAAAGCGUGGGGAUCAAACAGG
rnacentral:rRNA from 1 species